rnacentral:rRNA from 1 species
AUUGAACGCUAGCGGCAGGCUUAACACAUGCAAGUCGAGCGGAGAUGAGGUGCUUGCACCUUAUCUUAGCGGCGGACGGGUGAGUAAUGCUUAGGAAUCUGCCUAUUAGUGGGGGACAACAUUCCGAAAGGAACGCUAAUACCGCAUACGCCCUACGGGGGAAAGCAGGGGAUCUUCGGACCUUGCGCUAAUAGAUGAGCCUAAGUCGGAUUAGCUAGUUGGUGGGGUAAAGGCCUACCAAGGCGACGAUCUGUAGCGGGUCUGAGAGGAUGAUCCGCCACACUGGGACUGAGACACGGCCCAGACUCCUACGGGAGGCAGCAGUGGGGAAUAUUGGACAAUGGGCGGAAGCCUGAUCCAGCCAUGCCGCGUGUGUGAAGAAGGCCUUUUGGUUGUAAAGCACUUUAAGCGAGGAGGAGGCUACCUGGAUUAAUACUCUAGGAUAGUGGACGUUACUCGCAGAAUAAGCACCGGCUAACUCUGUGCCAGCCGCCGCCGUAAGAC